rnacentral:lncRNA from 1 species
GCUGGAAUUUAAGUUGAGCCGGUGAAGUUUUCUUCUCUCUAUAUACAUUUACUGACGCACAUAUUUUAAAUCUUUCUUUUCUUAAUUUUCUUCUUCAAUUUUGAAGAGCUCUGGAUUUAUUAUUUUUUUAAGGUAGCUCUGACAACAUAUCAUUUGCUUUUCUUUUGCUAUAGGUAAAAAAAUAUUUACAGGUAAAUAUGGCGCAAUUUCAUUUAAUUAAUUGGUAAAAAAUAAAGGUUCCGUCGUCAGCAUUCACGCCGACUAAUUCAGCAUUUAGGUUCAGUCUGUGGUUAAAGUUUUGUUUUACAUCAAAAUCGUUGUCAAACAUAAUGGAAUUUCGGGAAAUUGGGACAUUGGCUUCUUUAUGUCCAAAACACAGUAUCCAGGGGAAAAUUUUGCAUAUAUUUAUUUUCAUUUUUCCGUAUUUUACUACUAGAUGGACUUCGUUUUUCCUGAACAGUUAAUUUCAUGUUUUGUCUGAG